rnacentral:rRNA from 1 species
GACGAACGCUGGCGGCGUGCUUAACACAUGCAAGUCGAACGAUGAACCGGAGCUUGCUCUGGGGAUUAGUGGCAAACGGGUGAGUAACACGUGGGCAACCUGCCCCAGACACCGGGAUAAACAUUCGAACGGAUGGCUAAUACCGGAUACGACCACUUCGGGCAUCCGAUGCUGGUGCAAAGGAUUCUGGUCUGGGAUGGGCCCGCGGCCUAUCAGCUUGUUGGUGGGGUAAUGGCCUACCAAGGCGACGCCGUGUAGCUCGACCUGGGAGGGCGACCGGCCACACUGGGACUGAAACACGGCCCAGACUCCUACGAGAGGCAGCAGUGGGGAAUAUUGCGCAAUGGGCGAAAGCCUGACGCAGCGACGCCGCGUGAGGGACGAAGGUCUUCGGAUUGUAAACCUCUUUCAGCAGGGAUGAAGCGAAAGUGACAGUACCUGCAGAAGAAGUACCGGCUAACUACGUGCCAGCAGCCGCCGUAAGAC